UACGGAGGAUGCAAGCGUUAUCCGGAUUUACUGGGUUUAAAGGGUGCGCAGGCGGAACGAUCAGUCAGUGGUGAAAUCUCCCGGCUUAACCGAAAAACUGCCAUUGAUACUAUCGUUCUUGAGUCCAGUUGAAGUAGGCGGAAUGUAGCAUGUAGCGAUGAAAUGCUUAGAUAUGCUACAGAACACCGAUAGCGAAGGCAGCUUACUAAACUGAAACUGACGCUCAGGCACGAAAGCGUGGGUAGCAAACAGG
rnacentral:rRNA from 1 species